AAGGCACAAUGAAAGUCCAACUGUCUCUUAUAGUCAAUCAAUUAAACUGAUCUCCUAGUACAWAAGCUAGAAUAUCCCCAUAAGACCAGAAGACCCUGUGAAGYUUUAACUAACCCAUUAAAUCCAAUAAUGGUUACUUUUGGUUGGGGCGACCUUGGAAAAAAAAGAAACUUCCAAAUAUAACGACAUCCACCGUACCAUACAGGCCUACAAGCCACAUAGACCCAGUACACCUGACAAAUGAACCAAGUUACUCCAGGGAUAACAGCGCCAUCUUCUUCAAGAGCCCAUAUCAAAAAGAAGGUUUACGACCUCGAUGUUGGAUCAGGACAUCCUGGCGGUGCAGCCGCUGCCAAGGGUUCGUUUGUUCAACGAU
rnacentral:rRNA from 1 species